rnacentral:lncRNA from 1 species
ACGGGGUCUUGCUCUGUUGCCUGGCUGGAGUGCAGUGGUGCUAACAUGACUCACUGCACCCUUGACCUCCUGGACUCAAGUGAUCCUCCCACCUCAGCCUCCCAAGUAGCUGGGACUCCAAGUGGGUGCCACUACAGCCAUGGUGUCUUUAACUGAGAUAUGAAGAUCACAAGCAGAGAAGCUUCCGAGUUCAGGGAGGAAAUCCAGAGUUCGGAUUUGAGCAUGUUAAGUUUGAGAUCUCCGUUAGACAUCCACGAAGGUCAGAACCUUCAGACCUGUAGAUGGGCUCUUCUUGGACAUUCUGGAGUCCCUGGGGGAAAGGGAAGUCUGAAGCUCAGUUGGCCAC